rnacentral:rRNA from 1 species
UCCGAAGGGGGCUAGCGUUGCUCGGAAUCACUGGGCGUAAAGCGCACGUAGGCGGAUCUUUAAGUCAGGGUUGAAAUCCUGGAGCUCAACUCCAGAACUGCCUUUGAUACUGGGGAUCUCGAGUCCGGGAGAGGUGAGUGGAACUCCGAGUGUAGAGGUGAAAUUCGUAGAUAUUCGGAAGAACACCAGUGGCGAAGGCGGCUCACUGGCCCGGUACUGACGCUGAGGUGCGAAAGCGUGGGGAGCAAACAGG